AAACUUUCAACAAUGGAUCUCUUGGCUCUCGCAUCGAUGAAGAACGCAGCAAAAUGCGAUAGGUAAUAUGAAUUGCAGAAUUCCGUGAAUCAUCAAAUUUUUGAACGCAAAUUGCACUUCUUGGUAUUCCAAGAAGUACACAUGCUUGAGGGUUAGUU
rnacentral:rRNA from 1 species